GCCGCCGUAGCUCAGCCUGGUUAGAGCGCCGGACUCAUAAUCCGGAGAUCCGGGGUUCAAAUCCCCGCGGCGGCA
rnacentral:tRNA from 1 species